rnacentral:lncRNA from 1 species
ACAGUGGCUAGGAGACUUCGGUGACUUCCUUGCUACAUCCAAGCUGCGGAGCUAUAUGACCAACCCAUCGCCACCGGGACGCAAUGCGCAAGACGCUCUGGAGGAAGAUGCCCAGGCGCUUGGCUACCUGCGUCUAUCCUGCGAACUGCCAGUAAAGCAGUUGCUCAGGAACUGUCAGACGACCCUCGCCGCCAUGCAGCUCUUACAGCUGCAGUUCCGUUCUGCCUCUCAGGCCGGGCUAAGCCUGCUGGAGCCGCAGAAGCAACUGCGCAUGGGCGACGACGAGACGACCGCUGACUUCAUUCAGCGGGCGGAGCAGCUCUGCAGCGACAUUAUCUCGGCAGGCGGCCAGUGGGACGAGGGUGCUAUGCGUCACGCCAUUCUCCACGGCCUGCCUCCUCAGUACGCUAUCACUGUCGAGUUCGCGAUGUAUUUGCCCAACUUGACUACCCCGCAGCUCGUGUUCAUGCUGCGGGAGAAGGAGAACAACCUGAAGGCCCAAGCAGUCAAGUCCGGCCUGGUUGGAGCUGUUGGCCCUGGUCGCACCGCCCGUGGAGUCCGCGGUGCUGCCGGCGCCUCGGGCGCCGCGGGGGCCAACGACACCUGCCGCUACUGUGGACAGCCUGGGCACUAUGUCCGUGAAUGCCCCGUUAAGCUGGCGGACGUGUCCGUAGGCCUCUACCGCAGCAAUGCGUUUGAGCAGCCACGCAGUACUGGCGCCGGCAGCAGUGGCAGCGGCAACCGCCAACGUGAUGGCGGCGGCGGAGGUACCAGCGGCGGCAAUAACAGCGGGGGCGACAGGACGCGCGAACGCGGCCGUUUUAGACGCGGCAACGGCCGCCGCAGCGGCAGCGACACUGCUGGCGGAAGCAGUGGCGGCGGCGGUGGCGGUGUAAGCUCACGCCAGAACCGUGCCACGGUGCUGGUCGUCGGUGGCAGUGGCAACAGUUCAGCAGUAGUCCUAGACUCUGGUUCGCCUUACCACCUUACAGGUGACCGCUCACUGUUACAUAAUUACGUUCCUGCCGGCGCGCCCAAGCAAAUCAAGUGGGGGAACAACCAGCUAGCCGACGUCAUGGGAACAGGGCAGCUGCUCCUACGGACGCGCGAUGGAGAAUCCAUCUGGCUACGCAACGUGCUCCAUGUCCCCAGCUCGGGACUAACGCUCAUGUCUGUCGACCUUCUCGUGACACGCGGCUGCUCAGUCACGUUCGGCACGGACAAGGCGGGAACCUACCUAGGACCGGAGCGCGGCACGGCCGCCCACCGCGUCCUCGUUGACGGUAAGGUGACUGUUAGCAGCGACGUCACCUUCGACGACGACCUCCGCGGCCUGGCGUCUCAACGGGCGGGCACCUCCUUCGGCGCUGGCCCCGCCCGUCCUGGCAGCGGCGACCCCGUCGGCGGCUCUACACAGCCCGCCACACCGCCGCCUCCAGUGGUUGCAUCGCCCCCAGUGAACCCAGCGCCCCCCCCCCGCCCCAACACACGCAGCCAACGGCAACCUCUUCACCCGCCGCUGGCCACGGUCUGCCCAGCCAACAACAGCAGCGGCGGCGGCGGAGAUUUGGGCAGUCCACCGCUGCUUAACAAAGCGUCGGGAAGCACAAAUUAUGCUGAGGCAGGCGACGGCAAUGCGGGCGGCGGAGGCAACAGCGCGGUGCAGGAGCCGCGCAGUUAUGAGGAAGCGGUGGCGAGUCCGCAAGCGGACAAGUGGAGAACUUCGAUGGAUGACGAGAUUCUGUCGCAGCUCUCCAACAAGACCUGGGAGUUGGGCACGCCGCCACCCGGUGCACGCAUCCUGGACUGUCGCUGGGUCUACAAAAUCAAACAGGAGCCAGGCGGUGAGGUACGCUACAAGUCGCGUUUAGUGGUGANNNNNNNNNNNNNNNNNNNNNNNNNNNNNNNNNNNNNNNNNNNNNNNNNNUGGAGCGAGCGUGGGCAUUACGUCAUGGACGUGGACCUGCUGGCGCCGACCAAACGCGCCGUCAGUGCGCUCGGCGCUGCGGAAGACAGAGCCGGCGGAGGUACCAGCGCUAGCAGAUUUGCCGCCGGCGCCAGCAGCAGUGACGCCGGCGGGGACCAGCCGAACGGCGCCGGCAGCAGUGACACCGGCGGAGACCAGUCGAACGGCGCCAGCAACGGCCAAGGGCAGCUGGGCGCCCUUGAGUGCUCAGCCGCCGAACUCGCAGCAGCACAGCGCCUGCACCGCCAGUUCGGCCACCUUGGUUACCGGGCGUUGGAGCAGCUUAUCACCAAGCAGCUGGUACAUGGACCACGGGUCACUCCCGCGGCGCUGCGUCAGGCGGCAGAGGGUGUCUGCGAAGCCUGUGUCACAGCGAAGACUACAGCUACAGCUCACGUCAGCCGCGGUAACCGGCCUCAGCAUGUCCUGGAGGUCGUACACUCUGACCUGUGCGGGCCCAUGCCGACCACGGGCCGAGGAGGGGCUCGCUACUUGCUAACGCUGCUGGACGGUGCCUCCGGUCUGUCUGCCGUUCGCACACUGGUUAGCAAGAACCAAGUGGGCGAAGCGCUGCAGGACAUGGUGACGCAGCUGGAGGCUCGCAACCCGAACGGUGCACGGGUCCGCACCCUUCAUAGUGAUAACGGUGGCGAGUUUGUCGCCGAGCAGCUGGCACAGUGGCUACGCCAGCGCGGCACUGCGCAUACCCACUCGGCGCCGUACACUCCGGAGCAGAACGGCGCAGCGGAGCGGCUCAAUCGCACGCUCCUCGACUGUGUGCGGGCUAUGCUGUACGAUGCCGCGCUCCCGGACAGCUUUUGGUCGGAAGCUGUGCUAUACGCCAACCUCCUGCGCAAUGUUUCCCCCUCUCAGGGCCGGGAGGCUACGCCGUGGGCAACUUAUCAUGGCGUCACCCCCGACGUCAGUCACCUGCACACCUUCGGCUGCCUGGCAUACGUCCGCGUCCCAACCAGCCAGCAGGUUAAGCUCGGUCCCCGCGCAGAGGCGGGAACCUACCUAGGACCGGAGCGCGGCACGGCCGCCCACCGCGUCCUCGUCGACGGUAAGGUGACUGUUAGCAGCGACGUCACCUUCGACGACGACCUCCGCGGCCUGGCGUCUCAACGGGCGGGCACCUCCUUCGGCGCUGGCCCCGCCCGUCCUGGCAGCGGCGACCCCGUCGGCGGCUCU